GCAAGUCGAGCGCUACCUUCGGGUGGAGCGGCGGACGGGUUAGUAACGCGUGGGAAUAUACCCAGUUCUAAGGAAUAGCCACUGGAAACGGUGAGUAAUACCUUAUACGCCCUUCGGGGGAAAGAUUUAUCGCCAAAGGAUUGGCCCGCGUAAGAUUAGAUAGUUGGUGGGUAAUGGCCUACCAAGUCUACGAUCUUUAGCUGGUUUUAGAGGAUGAUC
rnacentral:rRNA from 1 species